UACGUAGGUGGCAAGCGUUGUCCGGAUUUAUUGGGUGUAAAGCGCGCGCAGGCGGUUCUUUAAGUCUGAUGUGAAAUCUUGCGGCUUAACCGCAAGCGGUCAUUGGAAACUGGGGAACUUGAGUACAGAAGAGGAAAGUGGAAUUCCACGUGUAGCGGUGAAAUGCGUAGAGAUGUGGAGGAACACCAGUGGCGAAGGCGACUUUCUGGUCUGUAACUGACGCUGAGGCGCGAAAGCGUGGGGAGCAAACAGG
rnacentral:rRNA from 1 species